AUGGGAAGUGGAGAAACAACACUUGCUAAAAGAAGUUCAUCAGUGAUUCUCUCUUCUUUUGGAGUUUUUUUAGCAAGAGUUGUUUUCCCUCUUCUCAA
rfam:Solanum tuberosum cultivar DM 1-3 516 R44 scf00173_46, whole genome shotgun sequence.